AUUGAACGCUGGCGGCAGGCCUAACCCAUGAAAGUCGAGCGAGCGGCGGACGGGUGAGUAAUGUAUGGGGACUGCCCGAUAGAGGGGGAUAACUACUGGAAACGGUGGCUAAUACCGCAUACUAUCGGAUAACCAAUAUGGGAUUAUCUAGUAGGUGGGGUAAAGGCUCACCUGGGCGACGAUCUCUAGAUAGUCUGAGAGGAUGAUCAGCCACUCUGGUACUGAGAACCGGCCAAGACUCCUACGGAGGCAGUAGGGGGGAAUAUUGCACAAUGGGCGCAAGCCUGAUGCAGCCAUGACGGGUGUAUGAAGAGGGCCUUAGGGUUGUAAAGUACUUUCAGCGGGGAGGCGUUACCCGCAGAAGAAGCACCGGCUAACUCCGUGCCAGCAGCCGCGGUAAUUC
rnacentral:rRNA from 1 species